GACGAACGCUGGCGGCGUGCUUAACACAUGCAAGUCGAACGGAAAGGCCCUGCUUUUGUGGGGUGCUCGAGUGGCGAACGGGUGAGUAACACGUGAGUAACCUGCCCUUGACUUUGGGAUAACUUCAGGAAACUGGGGCUAAUACCGGAUAGGAGCUCCUGCUGCAUGGUGGGGGUUGGAAAGUUUCGGCGGUUGGGGAUGGACUCGCGGCUUAUCAGCUUGUUGGUGGGGUAGUGGCUUACCAAGGCAUUGACGGGUAGCCGGCCUGAGAGGGUGACCGGCCACAUUGGGACUGAGAUACGGCCCAGACUCCUACGGGAGGCAGCAGUGGGGAAUAUUGCACAAUGGGCGGAAGCCUGAUGCAGCAACGCCGCGUGCGGGAUGACGGCCUUCGGGUUGUAAACCGCUUUCGCCUGUGACGAAGCGUGAGUGACGAUAAUGGGUAAAGAAGCACCGGCUAACUACGUG
rnacentral:rRNA from 1 species